rnacentral:misc_RNA from 1 species
GUUGGCAGUUGACCAGUGGGU